rnacentral:rRNA from 1 species
CCUACGGGCGGCAGCAGUGAGGAAUAUUGGUCAAUGGGCGCGAGCCUGAACCAGCCAAGCAGCGUGAAGGAUGACUGCCCUACGGGUUGUAAACUUCUUUUGUCAAGGAAUAAAGUGAGGCACGUGUGCUUUUUUGUAUGUACUUUAUGAAUAAGGAUCGGCUAACUCCGUGCCAGCAGCCGCGGUAAUACGGAGGAUCCGAGCGUUAUCCGGAUUUAUUGGGUUUAAAGGGAGCGUAGAUGGGUUGUUAAGUCAGUUGUGAAAGUUUGAGGCUCAACCGGAAAAUUGCAAUUGAUACUGGCAGCCUUGAGUACAGUUGAGGUAGGCGGAAUGCGUGGUGUAGCGGUGAAAUGCUUAGAUAUCACGAAGAACUCCGAUUGCGAAGGCAGCUUACUAAACUGCCACUGACAUUGAUGCUCGAAAGUGUGGGUAUCAAACAGGAUUAGAUACCCGUGUAGUC